GAAGGUAACAGCUCAGUGGCAGAGCACAUGCUUAACAUGCAUGAGGUCCUGGGUUCAAUCCCCAGCAACUCCA
rnacentral:tRNA from 1 species